CUAUCGCUCUUGGUCUCCUUUGCAAAUUGCAAUCGCAUGUCAGUUUCCAGCGAGCGCUGCUGGGUUCGGGCUCCGGCUGCUGGAGUCUAGCGAGAGGAGGGUUUUAGGGGCUCCCCCCCCUUUUCUUAAAAUCCGAUGCAUGCAUUUGAUCCCGAUGACUGUCGGCUGCGUGGGGGGCUCUGUCUUUCCAGAGCCCCCCAAUACACUAAAGCCUGGGCGGGUUGAGGAGGAGGAGGAAGAGAGGAAGCUAAAGGGGGGAGCCCAUUUUCUUCCUUGCAGACGGAUCGCUGGCUGGAUUGCAAUUUGCAAAGGGAGCAUGAUUGUUGAACAACACCUUGUGCAACAUCUGUGCUCUGCUAGCUCUGGAGAUGUACAGAUGUCAGGGGAAGCACCGACAGUACAUACAGAGGUGGGCGCUCUGAGUUAUGCUCAAUGACAGAUUUCUGUGAGUCCUAGUAACCCACCAAAGUGCAUGAAGCCAUUCAAAAGUAGGGCUGUGACAAGUCAGACCCCGUGUCCAUGCUGGAGAUCUUCCCAAGCCACGCACAUGUGGACCUUGGUGAAUGUCCAUUGAGGCCUUCCUGCUGAUUGCUGGAUCCAGCCCCUCUAGGAAUCCUUUUCAUUGGAAGUCUGUGGAUUUUCAAAUCUUGAUCCCAAAACAGUCUGAAAAACCUACUUGGAAUGAAACGAAACAGCAGCUUCCUCAAUAGCAGAAGUACAUCAAACUGCAAGUUAGCCAUCAGCAGGUCUAAACAUUACCCACAAGUGCAUGUGUGUGUAAUGUCUGUUGGACUGUCACAGAGCUGGGAAUCAGUAGACAUGGGUUCUAGUCCCAGUCUGCUACCAACUUCCCGUGGGACCUGAGCAAGUCACUUAACUUCUCUGUGCCUCAAUUUGCCCACAUGUAAGACUGAUACAGUGAUACUUACUUGUCUUUUUGUAUAUCGUCUCGAGCUCUCUGGAUGAAAAGGGCCCCUACAAGUAGUAUGUGUUGGUGUUCCUAUCUGUACGCUGUGCAGCUGUGGGAAAACUACCGUGCUGCGUCUACACACCCUGGUGCUAAGAGAACAUGGCACCGUAACAUCACCUGCUGUCCUGAUUUCUGCUGUCUCAGCAGUGAGCAUUUGGAAUCUGAUGUGUCCAAAAGACGCUUUCCUAAUUAGCACAAAAACUCUGUGUGUAGGGAAGUUUUUGUGGUGAUCCAAAUGGCUAACGAGGCCUGGUGCCCAGAGCUAGACACUAACGUGGUGUGGACUUCUUAGAUGGCUUUGUUGUUGUAAUGUUCAGGGCUUAGGCAGGAGUUCUGCCUUCCCAAGAGUGUGAUAGAAAUGCCUGUGUGUGUGUGAACUUUCCAGGGAGCAUCUGAGGGAGAGAACAGGGCCGAACUGGAGGGUUUGCUGUGGCUGUAAUGCAGGUUUCCCUUUGGCCUGUGCACUCUGAUUACUCUGCUUUUACACGUCAUUGUUGGUGUGGGGUGGCCGUGUUAUUUAUUUCUGUUACAGCAGCACAGAAAUAAUAACACCUUGAGCAUGAUACAUCCUUGCUCUGCCAUUCUGCUCCGAGUGUUUCACACCCGUGUUGUAGUAUAAAUAAAUCUAUAAAUCACAGCUCA
ensembl:lncRNA